rnacentral:rRNA from 1 species
ACCAAGGCAACGAUGGGUAGGGGCCCUGAGAGGGGGAUCCCCCACACUGGUACUGAGACACGGACCAGACUCCUACGGGAGGCAGCAGUGAGGAAUAUUGGACAAUGGGCGGGAGCCUGAUCCAGCCAUGCCGCGUGCAGGAAGACUGCCCUAUGGGUUGUAAACUGCUUUUAUACGGGAAGAGACCCACCUACGUGUAGGUGGCUGACGGUACCGUAAGAAUAAGGACCUAU